UACGGGGGGGGUAAGCGUUGUUCGGAAUUACUGGGCGUAAAGGGCUCGUAGGCGGCCAACUAAGUCAUACGUGAAAUCCCUCAGCUUAACUGGGGAACUGCGUGUGAUACUGGAUGGCUUGGAUUUGGGAGAGGGAUGCGGAAUUCCAGGUGUAGCGGUGAAAUGCGUAGAUAUCGGGAGGAACAUCAGUGGCGAAGGCGGCUACCUGGCCCAAUACUGACACUCAGGUGCGACAGCGUGGGGAGCAAACAGG
rnacentral:rRNA from 1 species